rnacentral:rRNA from 1 species
UGCUAAUCUAGAGAUUGAAAGAGGAUAGAGGAAUUCCUAGUGUAGAGGUGAAAUUCGUAAAUAUUAGGAGGAACACCAGUGGCGAAGGCGUCUAUCUGGUUCAAAUCUGACGCUGAGGCGCGAAGGCGUGGGGAGCAAACAGGAUUAGAUACCCUGGUAGUCCACGCUGUAAACGAUGAAUGUUAAAUAUGGGAAGUUUUACUUUCUGUAUUACAGCUAACGCGUUAAACAUUCCGCCUGGGGACUACGGUCGCAAGAUUAAAACUCAAAGGAAUUGACGGGGACCCGCACAAGCGGUGGAGCAUGUGGUUUAAUUCGAUGCAACGCGAAAAACCUUACCACUCCUUGACAUGGAAAUUAUACCUAUUCGAAGGGAUAGGGUCGGUUCGGCCGGGUUUCACACAGGUGUUGCAUGGCUGUCGUCAGCUCGUGUCGUGAGAUGCUGGGUUAAGUCCCGCAACGAGCGCAACCCUCAUCCUUAGUUACCAUCAGGUAAUGCUGGGGACUUUAAGGAAACUGCCAGUGAUAAACUGGAGGAAGGUGGGGAUGAUGUCAAGUCAUCAUGGCCCUUAUGGAGUGGGCUACACACGUGCUACAAUGGUGGCUACAAUGGGCUGCAAAGUCGCGAGGCUAAGCUAAUCCCUUAAAAGCCAUCUCAGUUCGGAUUGUACUCUGCAACUCGAGUGCAUGAAGUUGGAAUCGCUAGUAAUCGUGGAUCAGCACGCCACGGUGAAUACGUUCUCGGGUCUUGUACACACUGCCCGUCACGCCAUGGGAAUUGGUUUCACUCGAAGCUAACGACCUAACCGCAAGGAGGGAGUUAUUUAAAGUGGGAUCGGUGACUGGGGUGAAGUCGUAACAAGGUAGCAGUAGGGGAAUCUGCGGCUGGAUCA